rnacentral:lncRNA from 1 species
CAUCACAUAAUAGUCAAAACACCAAAUGCACAAAACAAAGAAAGAAUAUUAAAAACAGUAAGAUAAAAAAGUCAUGUAACAAAUAAAGGCAUACCUAUCAAAAUUACAAAACACUUCUCACCAGACACUAUGAAAAUCAGAAGAACCAGGGCAAAUGCAUACAUACCCUAAGAGAACACAAAUGUCAUCCCAGCUACUAUAUCAAGCAAAACUCUCAAUUGGCAUAGAUGGAGAAUGUCCCCGCCAGCAGGGACCAAGUUAUUCAGGGUCCCGAAGGGGCGAUACCCUUGGGCCUAAAUGGGGGGCAAGAGAAGGAGACCAAGCAAAAGUUCUGUUGUCAAGGUCUCGUUUAUUGAGAGAAAUGUAUAGCAUUUAAAGCUCUGAGGCAGGAAUAGAAGCGGGAACUGAAGCUUAGGGUGGGGGAAUUUGGGAAGUGCCCAAGGAUAUAAGGUGAAUCACUACACUGCAAGAUAUCCUCCUAUAACAAAGAGGCAACAGUCUUCCGGGGACAUGUUCUUUGAAAAGGUCGAACCCUUCUCAGGAAUCUGCUCAGGAACAUCCUGUGUUUUGCUCAGGCUGAAACAUCCUGUCAUUGCUCCCAGAGUCUUCCUGGGAGAGGCUUUAGUUCAACAAUCUCAUGUCUGUAUGGCAGUCAUUUCAAGGUUGAACCUCUGUGGCCAUGCAGCCCAGAGUCAAGUAGCCACCUUGAGCUAUGCAGUCACAAAGCAGCCAGGCCCAAAUCCAAUACGGCUCCUUACAGGAGAAACCAAGACAUUGAUGAAAAAACCAAAGUUACAUGAUAUCUUUCUACAAAUACAUCACUAAAAAAGAUAAUACAAAACUCUAACACAAGAAGGGAAAUUACAUGCUGGAAAAAGUAAGAGAGUAAUCUAAUUUCAAGUAAACAAAAAGAAGAUAGCCACACAAACAUAAUUCUGCCUCUAACAACAAAAAUAACAGGGAACAACAAACAUUGGUCCCUAAUAUCUCUCAAAAUCAGUGGACUCAAUUCCCCAAUUUAAAAAAAAAAA